GACGAACGCUGGCGGCGUGCCUAAUACAUGCAAGUUGAGCGCUGAAGGUUGGUACUUGUACCGACUGGAUGAGCAGCGAACGGGUGAGUAACGCGUGGGGAAUCUGCCUUUGAGCGGGGGACAACAUUUGGAAACGAAUGCUAAUACCGCAUAAAAACUUUAAACACAAGUUUUAAGUUUGAAAGAUGCAAUUGCAUCACUCAAAGAUGAUCCCGCGUUGUAUUAGCUAGUUGGUGAGGUAAAGGCUCACCAAGGCGAUGAUACAUGGCCGACCUGAGAGGGUGAUCGGCCACAUUGGGACUGAGACACGGCCCAAACUCCUACGGGAGGCAGCAGUAGGGAAUCUUCGGCAAUGGACGAAAGUCUGACCGAGCAACGCCGCGUGAGUGAAGAAGGUUUUCGGACCGUAAAACUCUGUUGGUAGAGAAGAACGUUGGUGAGAGUGGAAAGCUCAUCAAGUGACGGUAACUACCCAGAAAGGGACGGCUAACUACGUG
rnacentral:rRNA from 1 species